CGGGCAACUGCAGAGCUGGUUCCCAACCAUGACUCAGCAGAGAAGCAUCCUCUUCCCCAUGGCCCAGCACCAUUAGCAUAGAAGCCCCACUCAGCACCGCGAAGAGAGGAUUCCUCUCUCUUGUCUGUCCGGUGAUACAGACAGGACCUCGACUAGGUCAGACAAGUGAGGCACUUGCCUCUGGUAAAAAACAGAAGGGGCACCAAGAGGCUUGGCAAACAAGCAGAGAAAUUUGGACAUAGCCACCCUUCUGUACGCAGUGAGAACACAGGCAAAGACGUCUAGAUGAAGGCAAAGACUGGGGUGAUGCUUCUAUAUGCCAAGGAGCACACCGAAGAUGGGCAGCAAAGCGCCAGCAGCUGGGAGGGGCCUGGAGCAGACUCUCCCUCAGCCCUCGGAAGGAACCAGCCUUGGACUUCCACUUCCCAAAUGGAGACAAAAUAUUGCUGAACCCAAGACGUUUGUCACUGAAUCCAAGACAUUUUUCACUGAGCCCAAGACAUUUCCAAUUCCACUGAGCUUGCUGUGUUUGUGAGUGAGCCUAGGGGUGGAGUGGGGCCUAAAAAGCAGAAAAGGCUGUCAAGAUUUAAUGAACCCCACCUAAGUCCCCAGUGGAUAUUUCUGGAUGUCCUGGGUUUUUGUUUUGUAAGGUCUGUCUCUGCCAAUUAGUAGCUUAAUAACCACUAUGAAUGACCAGGAUAUUCAGCCACCAAUAUCAUCUAAGUGGGGUGGGGAACCAGGAAGCAGAGAAGACUGACAUUGUGAACCCCUCUGAUAGAAAGUGGGUAUGAGGACAAAAUAAGUACGAGAACUCGGAGAGACUGGACCUCUUUCUCCUUGUAAAUCAAGCUGAACAGGGAAAGAGGAGCUGGCAGGAGAGUUUGUCCUGCUGGUGUCAGCCCCCACAGAAGUCCCCAAGCUUCCUGGACGCCUCCAUGUGUGCUGUUGCCUGCUUGGACCCCAUCUUCAACAGCAGCUCCAAGGGCUUGUCUGGAGGCCCUGGAUGGAAGGUGCUUCCCAGCCUGAGCACCUGCAGAAGUGGCAGCUGUAUUCUUUAGGUACAUGAACAGCCUAGUUUUCAAGCCUGUGUACAAAGGUGUCUUCUUCCUCUGGGCAAACCACUCCCAGGGGCAAGAGCCACAAGGGUCAACUUAGCAAUCUUUGUCAGUGGCAAGGAGGUGACACUAAUCUCAACCACAGUCUUCUUAGCCAACGUAAGCUUAUUUUCUUCCCUUGUCUUUUCUUAGAACUGCAUCACUUCUUGCACAGGUUCUUUUUUAUCAUUUAUACAAUGAUGAAGGCCUGGAAAUGAGCCAAGAGUGACUACUUGUUCCUGAGCUAAUCUCUGUUUCCCCAAGGAUACUGCUGGAAGUUGGACAGUGAGUGGUCAGAAUUCAGAAGUUCCAGGUCAGAGGUUGGCCUCAGCCAUCCCCUGGGGUGAUGGAACCACAGGAAGGAUCCUCUGAUUCAGUCCCCAAAGUGGGCCCUGUGGAGCAGCAUCCCAGAUGGUAGGAAAUGGAUCUGCAAUUACUCCUCAAGGCUCAGGGAGGGGUUUUAACAAGAACACUGCACAUCUUCAGAGCAGGUGGUCUUGUCUGUCUCUAUAAUCAAACAAAAAAUUUUUUUUUUCCCACCCACUCUUCUAUAACAGACUGCUGCCUGGGAUCCUAAGAACUGUUGUCUUUUUGAUCUCCCUCUUCGCAGCAUGGACAGUGGGUCCCCUCGAUCUGCACACCCUGCUCUGCCUCUCUCUGCAUGCUUAGGGUUCAGGGAAGUUACACCCUUGGGGACACUGGCGGCUGCUGGAUAUGUGCACAGGGGGCAUGGAGAGCGGUCUUCUCUUCUGAUCUCCACGCAGGGGACCUAGUGAGACUUGCUGUAGGACCUCAGGUGAAAUUAUCUUGACUAUUGACUAGCAAAGAGAUGAGAAAGGAGAGGCACUAUAGAUUUCAUUUAAGAAAUAAAUAUCAUCUCCUCUUUUUCUCUUUUCUCCA
rnacentral:lncRNA from 13 species